GAUUCCCCUGCUCCGAGAGUAGACUUUCCAUCUAGAACUAGAAUUCAUUUUUGUCCAGAGAAAGUCCACCACCCACCAUUGCAAGUGCAACUUACGUCGCGAGACAAGUGCCUGUAUCCGUCCCUGGAUGAAAUCCGCUCUCCCUUGCCAGGAGUUAGGGCGCCUUCUCCAGAAUCUUAUAAUUGCAUUUUACCUCCACCGCCUUUUCCAUUGCCAGCUUUCGCGGUGGGUCAUGGUCCUUGUCCAUGGCCAUUGGUACAGAUUCCAGGGUCACAUU
rnacentral:misc_RNA from 1 species